AGUGAACGCUGGCGGUAGGCCUAACACAUGCAAGUCGAACGGCAGCACAGUAAGAGCUUGCUCUUACGGGUGGCGAGUGGCGGACGGUUGAGGAAUACAUCGGAAUCUACUUUUUCGUGGGGGAUAACGUAGGGAAACUUACGCUAAUACCGCAUACGACCUACGGUUGAAAGCAGGGGAUCUUCGGACCUUGCGCGAUUGAAUGAGCCGAUGUCGGAUUAGCUAGUUGGCGGGGUAAAGGCCCACCAAGGCGACGAUCCGUAGCUGGUCUGAGAGGAUGAUCAGCCACACUGGAACUGAGACACGGUCCAGACUCCUACGGGAGGCAGCAGUGGAGAAUAUUGGACAAUGGGCGCAAGCCUGAUCCAGCCAUACCGCGUGGGUGAAGAAGGCCUUCGGGUUGUAAAGCCCUUUUGUUGGGAAAGAAAAGCAGCAGGUUAAUACCCCGCUGUUCUGACGGUACCCAAAGAAUAAGCACCGGCUAACUUCGUG
rnacentral:rRNA from 1 species